rnacentral:rRNA from 1 species
UACGGGGGGGGCAAGCGUUGUUCGGAAUUACUGGGCGUAAAGGGCUCGUAGGCGGCCAACUAAGUCAGACGUGAAAUCCCUCGGCUUAACCGGGGAACUGCAUCUGAUACUGGAUGGCUUGAGAUUGGGAGAGGGAUGCGGAAUUCCAGGUGUAGCGGUGAAAUGCGUAGAUAUCCGGAGGAACACCGGUGGCGAAGGCGGCUUCCUGGACCGACACUGACGCUGAGGCGCGAAAGCUAGGGGAGCAAACGGG